GCAUAAUUGUGCUCUCGGUUACUAGCUGGGAACAGACGCGGAGCCCCCGGGAAUGGGCCGGAGCUGACUUGCUCAGCUUUCUCACUUUCAGUUUGUCCCAAUUAGAAGCACGUAUAUGGGGAUUAUCCCCGAUUUUCACCUGGGCCCUUCAGGGUCUAAUUUCUACCAGGAAUAGUAGCUCUGGGCAGGCUACACAUUCUGACCUCUUAAAGCUUGCUUUUAUUUGUCUUUUUUUUCCCUGCGUAACUCUGGGUGGAGGUGUUCAGGAAUCUCCUCCUGAGACCUUUCUUUCCAGGUUAAACAUGCUCAGGACUUGCAAAGCUUGACAGGGUUGAUAAAUGCCAGACCAUUUUACUGCAUCAUGAGCCAGCAGACUUGGGGGCAGAGGAGGAUCCCUCAGGACUGAACAAUUUCACCUUUUGCUCAAGCCAAAGCAAGGCCAGGCCAGACACUGCCCAGGCUUGCACCGGUUUUGCCGGCACAGCACUGACCGCAAGCACUGUAACUUCAGAGAGGCCAAAUGAGGCUCAGGCUGAACGUCUGUGCCUGCGCCCAGCAUGAUGCCAUGUUAACCAAACUGGUUCUGCUCUCCAGACGAAUUCUGCGCACGGGCUGCAGUUUAUACAGGUUCCCUUUCAUUCCCAUGAAGACAGAUGUUGUUAUGGCUUCCGUUGCUCUCUCAGUGGGUUAGACGUGAGCUUCCCCGGUGAAUAAAAACCAAGUUGGGAAAAUUUUUACCUUGGGUUCCCUUUUCAGAGUGACUGCAGUGGGAUGAGUCAGGCAAUGCAGCUGCAGGAUAAUGAAGCACUCAGGUUUGAGAACGGGAGAGACAGCUAAGGGAGAGCACCCAAGCCCCCGCACCGGGUGAAGUGUGGCUGGAAUGAAUUGUACGUGCUGAAGGAUGGAUGAUGGAUGGCAAAUCACCAAGUUUGUAGAGGACUUUUUGUCUUAAUGACUUCUGACUGAAUAAAGCCAUGCUGGAGUGUGGCAAAGGCA